rnacentral:snRNA from 1 species
GCAUGUGAGGGCAAACCGGUUGAGCCGUCCAUCACCCCACUGACUGCAGUGUGGAUUCAGUUGAUCUGGCUGGCUAGGUGCACGUCAGCUUCCUCCCUCACCGCUCCACAGGCAUCCUCCCCCACACGCACGCUCAGCAGAGGAGGAAACUCUUUCCUGUAGACGCAGACUCGUCUUAAGUCAAGGGUGUGCAAGAAGCUGCGCUCCCCUGCUAGAGCCUCUAAACAGUGGCCCUUCUGCCUGCACACUCUUCUUGCCCCUUUUCCACAACGUUUCCUCAGCCCUAAGGAAGGGACGUCCUCUUUAAGAUAGAGCUGUAGGCAUAAUGUUUUUCUAC